GCGUACGCUUUGGGGGGAGGCGCGUGGUUUUCUUUUUAACAACAGGCUGUAGUUGGAUGCCGGCUAGUAUCCCUAGCCGGAAGUGACACCUCCGGAUUUGUUAAGCAUCGGGGUGACUCGCCUAACUGCUUUCACAUGCAGAUCGAUGAGACGCGCACCGAAGAGUGACGGAGGAGGCGAGCGGAGGGCUGUGAGAAGAUGGAGAGCCACAAGCAAAGUAGGAUUUUGUCACCGGAGGCAGCUUGGGCGAGGUGGCACGCGAGCCUUGACGUGACAACUGGAACCAGCAGCGGCAGGGCAGGUGAAGGGCCGAGUUUUUUGCAGGUGCCGCAGAUGGCCGCGGAGGGGCCGAGCCGCACGCAGACCGACAGUGUGAGAAGGUGCUUUGGGAGCCGCCUUUGGGAUCGGAUGAGCGUUUGAAGCGAGCCGGGGUAGUCGCAAGGAGGAUCGUGGGUGACUCGUUGGAAGCGCAAGGGUAACUUUGUCUCUCGGUAUCUUAGGCGACGACGGCUGCAGCAUCUGACUCUGCAAAGGGCCGGUGAGCGGAACCCCGCGACGCUUCUGAGUACAGGCGGGUGUCGUGGAAGAGGUAGGCACGGAGCAGCGCGAUGCCGACGGCCGGUUGUGUUUUCUCCCGUUGGUGUUUUCUUGCAGGUGAAGAGGAAGGCGGCAACUGCAGGAACGUGCUAGUUAGCCGCCGCGCUGCUUUCGUCGAGGACGGAAUCGGACCUCCGGCCCUCUGAAAGCUAAG